rnacentral:piRNA from 1 species
UCCUUUGGUGGAAUUUGGAAACCUAACA